UACGGGAGGCAGCAGUGGGGAAUAUUGCACAAUGGGCGCAAGCCUGAUGCAGCCAUGCCGCGUGUAUGAAGAAGGCCUUCGGGUUGUAAAGUACUUUCAGUCGUGAGGAAGGUGUUAAGGUUAAUAACCUUAGCAAUUGACGUUAGCGACAGAAGAAGCACCGGCUAACUCCGUGCCAGCAGCCGCGGUAAUACGGAGGGUGCGAGCGUUAAUCGGAAUUACUGGGCUAAAGGGCACGCAGGCGGUUAAUUAAGUUGGAUGUGAAAUCCCCGGGCUUAACCUGGGAAUGGCAUUCAAGACUGGUUAGCUAGAGUCUUGUAGAGGGGGUAGAAUUCCAUGUGUAGCGGUGAAAUGCGUAGAGAUGUGGAGGAAUACCGGUGGCGAAGGCGGCCCCUGGACAAAGACUGACGCUCAUGUGCGAAAGCGUGGGGAGCAAAC
rnacentral:rRNA from 1 species